rnacentral:tRNA from 1 species
GUCCUGAUAGUAUAAAUAUUACCCUGGUCUUGUAAACCAGAAAUGAAGAGACAUCUUCUCAGGACA